UACAGAGGGUGCGAGCGUUGUUCGGAAUUAUUGGGCGUAAAGGGCGCGUAGGCGGUGCGGUAAGUCACCUGUGAAAUCUCCUGGCUCAACUGGGAGCUUGCAGGCGAAACUGCCGUGCUGGAGUGUGGGAGAGGUGAGUGGAAUUCCCAGUGUAGUGGUGAAAUACGUAGAGAUUGGGAAGAACACCAGUGGCGAAGGCGGCUAUCUGGACGGUUUCUGACGCUAAGACGCGAAAGCGUGGGGAGCAAACAGG
rnacentral:rRNA from 1 species